rnacentral:lncRNA from 1 species
UGUCCUAAUUUGGUCAUAGUUUUUCUCUCCUCUUUGUCUAAAAGUUGGACAAAAUUCUUAUAUCUCUAGUAUAGAGAUUUGGUGUAUAGGUUGUAGGAAGAAAAGAGAAGAAAGGAUUCUUCUCAUGAUCUUUAGCAUAGAGAUCAACAUUCUCCUAUUUCUUCUUCUUCUCUAAAAGUAUCUUGAGAGAAAAAAAAAUUUUAACCAUCAAGAUGGAUCUCUGUAAGAGAGCUAGUACUCUGGUGAGAUCUAUAAGCUUC